UUGCUCGCUUUGGCAGCACAUAUACUAAAAUUGGAACGAUACAGACAAGAUUAGCAUGGCCCCUGCCCAAGGAUGACAUGCAAAUUCGUGAAGCAUUCCAUAUUUAA
rnacentral:snRNA from 1 species